AAUAGAUACCCCGGUAGUCCUAGCCGUAAACGAUGAGCACUUGAUUGAGGGCCCCCCCAUAGGCUCUCGAUCGCAGCGAAAGUGUUAAGUGCUCCGCCUGGGGAGUAUGGUCGCAAGGCUAGAAACUCAAAGGAAUUGGACGGGGGGCUCACACAAGCGGUGGAGGAUGUGGCUUAAUUCGAGGCUACGCGAAGAACCUUAUCCAGGCCUUGACAUGUACGGAUGCUGCCCGUGAAAGCGGGUUAGUUGCCUUCGGGUGAAACGUGCACAGGUGCUGCAUGGCUGUCGUCAGCUCGUGUCGGUGAGAUGUCGGGUUAAGUCCCUUAACGAGCGAAACCCUUUGUCCUUAGUUGCCAGCGAGUCAUGUCGGGGGACUCUAAGGAGACUGCCGGCGUUAAGCCGGAGGAAGGUGGGGAUGACGUCAAGUCCUCAUGGCCUUUAGUGGUCUGGGCUGCACACGUCCGUACAUGGCAUAUACGAAACGGGAUGCUACCUCGCGAGAGCAAGCCAAAUACCCGAAAAGUAUGCCCCGAGGUUAC
rnacentral:rRNA from 1 species